GUGCAGCAGUCGCGAAACCUCCGCAAUGCGGGAAACCGUGACGGGGUCACCCCGAGUGCCACCCGAUGAGGGUGGCUUUUCCCCGGUCUAAAAAGCCGGGGGCAAUAAGCGGGGGGCGAAGUCUGGUGUCAGCCGCCGCGGUAAUACCAGCCCGCGAGUGGUCGGGACGUUUAUUGGGCCUAAAGCGUCCGUAGCCGGCUCGGUAAGUCCCUCCUUAAAUCCACGGGCUCAACCCCGUGGGCUGGGAGGGAUACUGCCGGGCUAGGGGGCGGGGAGAGGCCGAGGGUACUCCCGGGGUAGGGGCGAAAUCCGUUAAUCCCGGGAGGACCACCGGUGGCGAAGGCGCUCGGCUGGAACGCGCCCGACGGUGAGGGACGAAAGCUGGGGGAGC
rnacentral:rRNA from 1 species